GUGUCCGUAGCUCAGUUGGAUAGAGCACCGGCCUUCUAAGCCGGGUGUCGGGGGUUCGAGUCCCCCCGGGCAUA
rnacentral:tRNA from 1 species